ACUCUGCUGUGCACCAAUGGGGCUCCUGCUCUGGCUAGAGCAGGUCCGCCUCCAACCCUUCGGGACCAUUUAGAAGGCGACACGACAAGACUCUACCUACAUUAUUCAAUGUAUAAAAACUAUUGUAACCUCUGUAUAGGUCCCUUUUCUGCUGACUCCUUACUGAGUCAAAUGACUAGGUCUGUGCACGUUAAAUCUGCAGGACAACAUAUCUUUUGACUCAAUAAACUGCCUUUUGUUACAACUGAAAUCCACUCUGUUCAGCGUCCGUGAUUUGGUCUCUCUCUCUCAUAGUUUAUCAUCAACACCAGUAAAGCCUGGAACAUAUUCUUGGACACAGGACCUCAAGAUGUGAUGAGCCAGAGCAACCAAUCAGCUUCACUGCAGCUGCUCAACCCACUGUUCUCCCUCCACAAGUAACCACAUCCUCUUCUCCUGUUCAACUACUUUGCCACCACACCAAAAAUGACUGUACAUAUACCCCUGUGCCAUCUCAGUGGAAGAUGAUCCAUCCAAGGCCUCAGCUGAAUGCCUUUAAUGUGAGAAAUGUAUUCAAGAUUCCAUAGUGUGUGUGUGUGUGUAGUUCCAAGUAAAGACUUGAGAAGGGUUCCACCUAGACACAGAAGGGGUUCUACCUGGAACCAAAAAGGGGUAUCCUAUGGGGACAGCGGAAGAAUCCUGUUAGUUUGUAGAUAGCACCUUUUUAUCUGAGUGUAGGCCUAUAUUUCAGUCGUGGUUCCAUGGAUAUCCGUGAAAAAUAACCUUCAUUGGUAGUGAGUUAAUCAUAAAUACUAUGAAACCUUCCCACUUAGCACACAUUUGCAAGCAGACAAAGUAACCUAUCCUAUGCUGAGGCAUGUGUGAUCACUCAACAUUGACAGGACCAACAUAAAAGACAUGCUUGGGACUCCUGAGUGGCGCAGCGGUCUAAGGCACUACAUCCCAGUGGCAUCACUACAGACCCUAGUUGGUUUCCAGGCUGUAUCACAACCAGCUGGGUGUCCCAUAGGGUGGCACACAAUUGGCCCAGUGUCAUCUAGGUUAGGGUUUGGCCGGGGUAGGUCGUCAUUGUAAACAAGAAUUUGUUCUUAACUGGCGUGCGUAGUUAAAUAAAGGUUCAAUAAAAAAAUAUAUAAAAAACAUGCAAACAAAAGAUGACGUGUCUAUCUUGCACCGUUAUGCAAUUAUUAGGAGACGAGAUACGUUGCUACAUUGAGCCCCCCCCCAUUUAUUUUGUACAAUGCUGCUACUCGCUGUUUAUUAUCUAUAUCUAUGCAUAGUCACUUCACCCCUAUCUACAUGUACAAAUGACCUCAACUAACCUCUACCCCUGCACAAUGACUCGGUACCGGUACCCCCUGUAUAUAGCAUCGUUAUUGUUAUGUUAGUUUAAAAAAAUAUAUAUAUUUUAUUUUUACUUUAUUUUGUAAAUAUUCUCUUUAUCUUCUUGAACUGCACUGUUGGUUAAGGGCUUGUAAGUACGCAUUUUACGGAAAAGUCUACACUUGUUGUAUUCGGCGCAUGUGACAAAGUUUGAUUUGAAAUAGAUAAUCCUGGCUACCAAUGUUCUAGCAUUAAUUUAUUGAGGCAUGCAAUCAGAGAUGUCAAGGUGGUCCUCAAGCAUAUGCCAUGUGUAUGUAACACACAUAUGUAUGGUCAUAUUUUUUGUUUUGUAUAUUUUGCCUCCUAGGUAUUUGCAUUUAACGUAUGUAUAUAAUUACUGCCGCUAGGGGGAGCUGUGUCAUCAAUGAAGUGUUUUUAAAGCGUUUAAACAAAUAUAUAUUAACAGUAACAUGCAAAACAACAGCCAGAGGUAUUCCACAAAGAAAUGUAAAAAACAUUAAACUAAUCCACAUUAUAUCAAUUCAAAUACAGACAUGUAGCGAAUACAUUUUUAAAAACAUUUUGUUUUGUAUACGUUUUAAUGACUCUAAAAAAUUAAGAAAAGGGUAUUUUUCUUCAUAACUUUUUAUUUGUGUAUGAAAUUUUUUCCUAAUAAAAUAAAGAGAUUUAUGACAUACUCAUGUUCAAUUGUGGAAUCAGUGUAGUAAAAUUAUAUGUCAAACUUAGACAUUCCAAUGGUUGUAUGCAUUUUGAGGCCAAGAUAUAGUUUUACAUCAGUCCAGAACACUUCACUAUAUAAACAAUGACAGAAUAAGUGUUCAAUAGAUUCAGUUUCUAGUUCACAAAACUGCAUUCACUGGUAACAUCAGGUAUAUAUUUAGAAAUCAUGCUAUUACACGGAUAGAAUCUAUGGAUAAUCUUGAAGGAGAUCUCCUUUACUUAUUGGUCACCAUAAAUUUGUGUGUAGUGAGCCAAGCACGGCGCCAGUUCACAUCAAACGAUGAAGCCCAACAAAAUAUCGCAGAGGGAAUAGACUUCCUGUAGAAAAUAUCCCUUAAUAAACGAUUGUUGAAUUUCGUAUCUAGUAGACCUAUGCCAUUCACCUGGAUAUUGCUUCAAUCUGAGAUAUUCCAAAAUAUGCAUUAUUCUGAAGUAAAGUUUUUAUCCCACUAGGUAUAGCUUAAAUAACAGUGUCAUAUUCCUUGCUUGAAACCUCAAAGUGUCUUUCCAUUAAUUCUCUCCGCUUAAAUAGAUUCCCACUAAUAUUAACUAAUUGGCUGACAAGGACAAUGAUUUUCGAGAACCAUUUAUGCUAAAAUAACAUCUUGUUUCUAUAUAAUAUCGACCCAUUGUUCCAUAUAAAACAUUUAUGAGGUGAAAAGUUGUGUUUUAUACAACAAAGCCCAGCACAUUAAAGCCUGCUUGUGAAAAGCCACCAGUUUCACAGGAAGUUUCCCCACAAUAUAUGGAGGUUGUAGUAAAAAAUUAAGCCCUCCGAACUUCUGAAAAACAAAAAAAGGUAUAAUAUUCCAGAAACUAUGAGGAUUUUUUAUGUACCUUUUAAUCCAGUUGACAUUUGAUAUCUGAUUGAAGAGAGUGAAGUCUAAGACAUUUAGACUGACAUCACAAACCCUGUUGGUGGUAACAUCUCUUUUAAUCUAAUGUGGCUUGUUUUUCCAUAUGAAAUUGUACAAUAGCCUAGCUAUUGGGAAUGUCAAUAGAUGAAAAAAGAUAGGAUACACGAGAUAGCCCCUCAGCUUUGGAUAAAAGCACCCUUCCUUGAAGACUUAAAUCCCUCCCUAACCAUGAGGAUAAUUUCUUUUGACAGAUUCAAUUACAGGGUUCAAAUUAAGAUAAUUCACAGCCUUAAGAUUUUUGGUGAUCUUUACACUGAGGUAGAUUACAGUUUCUUUUUCAGAGAUGUUACAAUUUGCUGGAUUGACAGCUCCUUUCAAAACAAACAUCUCACAUUUGCAAAGAUGUAAUACCAAACCUGAGAUUUUGGAGAACUGCUUCACGAUAUCCAAUGCUAAUCUAGCUUGUGACACAUUUGUCAAAAAAAGUGAAGUGUCAUCCGCUAUUUGGGAUAUCUUGAUCUCUCUUGCCUGGAACAUAAUGCCUUCAAAUGGACUUUUAUUUACUAAUGAGCGUAACAUUUGAGAUACUACUUUUUUUUUUUAAAGGUGAAAUUGGACAACCUUGUCGUAUUCCUUUGUAAAUGUUAAUUAAACCUUGAGGAUGUUCCAUGACAGAGUUUGAUACAGCUAUUGCCACCAUUAUACAGAGUUCUAAUAGCAUCAACAACAACAAAAAGCCCAAACUUCAAAUGCUUAAGACAAUCAAAGAUACAAUUGUGACUUGCUGUAUCAAAUGCUUUCUGAAAAUCCCAAAAUAGGAUAACAGGGAAGUCAUCCAAUAAUCACAAUACUCAACCAAGUCUAACACCAGCUUCAGAUUAUUAGAUAUACUGUAUGGCAUCCUUUCAUAAACCCUGAUUGACAUUCAUCAAUCAGAUCAUUCAAGCAAGACUAACCUUUUUUGCAAAGAUUAAGGCUAUAAUUUUGUAGUCGUUAUUUAGGAGUGUGAUUGGAUGCCAAUUAUCAAUAUUUAAGAGAUCCUUGUGUGGUUUAGGUAUAAGAGUAAUAACCCCUUAUAACCCUUUGCUUCAGAGAGGCAGGUAGUUCUCCCUUCUUUAUAGCCUCCUUAAAGGUUUCAAGUAAAAAUGGUGAUAUUUCUUCAGAGAAGGUUUUGUAAAAUUCAGAGGUUAAUCCAUCACAACCUGGAGAUUUGUUAUUUUUUAACUGAGCAUCCCCGUACUGGAUGUCCAUAAUGGAUAAAUCUUGACAACAAGACCAAUUGAAUUCUUCACUAACUGAAUUAACAUUCUCUAUAGAAUCAAGGAGAUCCUUAGAGUCACUCAAAUUGUUAUCUAAGGAGUAAAGAUUCUCAUAAAACUUAGUGGUAAAGUCUGAUAACAACUCUCUUUCCUCAGAGGUUACCCCAUUAAUCUUAAAUUUCCGAAGUGUGUUGAGUUCCCCUCUCCUCUUUUCCAAAUUAAAACAGUAUCUACAGUUAUUUUUGCCUUUUUCAAGCCAUUGUUUUCUGGAUCUUAUGAAAGCUCCUCUAGCCUUUUCCUCAUACAAUGUAUCUAGUUGAUUCUGUAAUUCAUUCAAUUUAGCUUUCUCAUUAAGAUCAAGAUGCUCAAUCUCUGUGAUAUCCACAAUUGUCUUAGAGAGUUCAGCUACCUCACAUCUCCUUCUUAAAGCAAGCCAUUUUCCAUAAGCAAUACAGGCUGAGCGGAUUUUAAAUUUCAGCAGUUCCCAAUAUUUCCCUUAUUCUGCAUUAGACGUAGCUAAACUCCAGUAAACAAAAAUUAGAUUCUUAAUCACAUGUUUUAACUCAUCAUGCAAUAACAAUGAGUUAUUUAACUUCCAAUAACCACCAGAGUAUUUCUUACCAUCAUUACUACACAUUCUUAUAGUCAAUCAUAUGACUUUAUGAUUCGUCAGGACUGCAGGCAGUAUUUUUACCUCUACAGUUUUGGGCUCAAGACUAGAGGUUAUCACUCACAAAUACAUUUUUGAUUGUAGAGAACGAUCUCUAUUACUCUAUGUGUAUUAUUUCUCUCCAGGGUUUUUAACUCUCCAUAUGUCAAUUAAGUCCAGGCUUUGGCAGAAAUUCACCAACUUGUUCACACCAAUGUUAGGCCUAUGGGGCAAUCUAUCAGUCUCAUUAGAAUAAACCAUAUUAAAAUCUCCAACUAUAAUCUGACUGGAUGGAUAUUUUCUCAGAUUACUUAAGAAUUUCUUCAAUUUCCUCUAGAAGUAAGUUAUAUGGAGGACUAGAACAGUAAACAUAUACAUUACACAACACAAAUAAUCUGUCCAUGUGGUUGAUGACCGCUACAAAAAUGUCCCUUUUUUGAGUGGGAUAAAAGUUAAGGUUACUCAGAGCAAGCUAAAAUCUCGUCUGCACUCGCCACCAUCUUCAGCUCCCCCUUGACAUCAAUGAAGUGAGUUAGUGAGAUAUUUAACAUUUCUUCUUCAUUAUGGAGAAUGACUAGUUCUCAAAACGAACAUUUCUCCGUCUCAUCGUUUUACCCUAUUAAUUCAUAUAUUGCAUUUUUGAACAUUACAUACGACUCAAUAUUGAGGUUACUUGGUUAAUUACAUAGUCCAUGAGUUUGAUGUUUGAAGGCAGUUUUAACUGAGUGAAAAAAUGGUUGGUAUUUUCCACAUUGUAAUUCAAUUAAUGGAGUUAGGCUAGGUUGCUAAUGGUUUACAUGAAUGAGAAGGGAUUAACAUGGCAUUCAAACUUUUCUUUUCAACGUUUUAGAUCCAAUUUGUUUUAUUUUCUAUAAACAAAGGCUCAGUUUACUUUAAGUAAUAUAUCUAAAUAUGUGAUGGCACGAUGUGUUAGUGUUAAUAUUUGUACAAAAAUGGAGUUUAACAGUUUGCUAGCUUGAUGCUAACCAAAUGUAGCUUGGCUAAACGCUAUAGCGCUAUAGUUGGCUCUAGCCUAGUUGGUUUUAGCCAAUGUCAGUUUUUAAUGUAAUGGUUGUAGUGUAAUGGUGUAAUUAAAUUGUUAUAUUCCUGCAUAGAUUGGGUAUUAUGCCACCUCCUGGUGGAUUAGUGUGUUUACAUUGUCUAAAAUACACAGUGAUAAAGUAUGGUAUUCUGUGUAAUUGUAACGGAUGUGAAAUGGCUAGUUAGUUAGCGGUGGUGUGCUAAUAGCAUUUCAAUCGGUGACGUCACUCGCUUUGAGAUGCUAUUAGCGCGCACCACCACUAACUAAUCCACAGCAGAUCUAUGGAGAAUUGCGGUGGGUGAGUUGAAAAUUGAAUGGUCCCGGGAUAUAAAUGUAUGAAGAUGACAUUACAUCAAAAAUGUAUGCUAUUAGUAACUGAUGUUGUCGGUUUGGCGUCAAAUAAGCAUCUCUUUAUAUGUUAUUUGCCGAAUCUCAGUUAGCCAUGUAAGGUUUUAUGCUAGCUAAAGUUCCGUCUUUGAAGUUGGUAGUGAACUUAAAAAUGCAUCUUCUUUAGGAGUGCUAUUUAUAUCCCGUCGACAACUAAUCAUUCAUCCAUACUGUGUGUCCCAUGAUUACAGGUCAUUUAUGACAAAUGUAUAAAAAGUAUAUGUUUUAUAAAUUUAUGAGCAUCAGCUAGCAGCAUGUUAGCCUGGUUUUGUUAGCUUAGGAAAAUAUGUGGUACAUUUUAGGUAUAUUGUAUUUCUUCGCCACAAGAGUGUAGCGGUGAGUAAUUUCUCAGGUUAAUAUGAUAUAUUUUGAAUACUAAAAUGAAUGAUAGUUUAGUCUGAUGUUGUGAAUAUGAGAUUACACAUGGAAAGAAUAUUUAUUUUUAUUAUAGUAAAUGAGGAAUUAUUAGAAAUUGCUAAAUCCACUAUACGGUCAUAAUGACUUUGAGACAUUUCAAUUGUUCUUUUGUUAGAGCAGAUCUGUGGAGAAUUGCUGUGGGAGUGCUAUUUAUAUCCCGUCAACUACUCAUCAUUCAUCCAUACUGUGUGUUUCCCAUGAUUGCAGCUUUGGAAAUAAAUAAACUAUACAUCCAUUACUC